UCCUUCAUUUUGGUAUAGCGCGUCCUCUUAUCUGAUUAUCAGCUGUAGUAAAACACACGUGGGUCUUAAAAGCCAAUUCCUUUCCUCAAUAGCAUGCUGCGCAUUAGAUUAAGAAUGAUCAGUAUGGAGAAGAUGACCUAAGAUGACCUAAGAUGAUUUUUGUUUUCGUAAGGACCCCAAAAAGGUUGGUUGAGAGGACCCAUUCAAAUAUGGAAAGCUGUGAAAGCCUGUUUGCAGAUGAAAAGAGAGGUUGCAAGAGACUAAGGGUAUAUCCUAUAUGCCAUGGGUUAUAUGUGUAGGCCUACUUACAGUAUGUUAGCAAAAUACAGUUAAACAUCACACACAAUGUAUAGACCUGUUACAGUUGGAGCAGGCCAACCCUGCAGGUGUGUGAGGGUUCUGUUUUUUUAAAAAGCAUGUAUUUACCCUUUAUUUAACUAGGCAAGUCAGUUAAGAAAAAAUGAAUAUUUACAAU